UCGAACGGCAGCGCGGACUUCGGUCUGGCGGCGAGUGGCGAACGGGCCAUUAAUAUAUCGGAACGUGCCCAGUAGCGGGGGAUAACUACGCGAAAGCGUGGCUAAUACCGCAUACGCCCUACGGGGGAAAGGGGGGGAUUCUUCGGAACCUCUCACUAUUGGAGCGGCCGAUAUCAGAUUAGCUAGUUGGUGAGGUAAAGGCUCACCAAGGCCGCGAUCUGUAGCUGGUUUGAGAGGACGACCAGCCACACUGGGACUGAGACACGGCCCAGACUCCUACGGGAGGCAGCAGUGGGGAAUUUUGGACAAUGGGGGAAACCCUGAUCCAGCCAUCCCGCGUGUGCGAUGAAGGCCUUCGGGUUGUAAAGCACUUUUGGCAGGGAAGAAACGGCGUCGACUAAUAUUUGACGUCACUGACGGUACCUGCAGAAUAAGCACCGGCUAACUACGUGCCAGCAGCCGCGGUAAUACGUAGGGUGCAAGCGUUAAUCGGAAUUACUGGGCGUAAAGCGUGCGCAGGCGGUUUGGAAAGAAAGAUGUGAAAGCCCAGAGCUUAACUUUGGAACUGCAUUUUUAACUGCCAAGCUAGAGUAUGUCAGAGGGGGGUAGAAUUCCACGUGUAGCAGUGAAAUGGGUAAAGAUGUGGAGGAAUAUUGAGGGGGAAGGCAGCCCCCGGGGAUAAUACGGACGCCCAGGCACGAAAGCGGGGGGAGCAAACAGGAAAAGAAACCC
rnacentral:rRNA from 1 species